AUUUCAAUGUUAUGAUGCAUUAACAUAUCUAGACUCAGUGAAUUCCAUGGAAAUGUUUAGUCUCAUGUCAACCAACAGUGAUCUAUGAUCAAACGCAUUCCAGCCAUGGCCAUCCUGUCUUUAUCCUUCAUGUAGAUGAGCCAGAAAAACAUUGUCCAGUGUAUUCUUCUUUAAGGUGACAAAGUGUGAAUUGUGGUGGAUUUGACUACUACUUCUAGCAGAUUAUCUACCACAAAGAAAUCCCUUUAUUGGAGGUGAUUAUACACUUAAAAAUAAAUCCAAAAUUUUAAAAUCCAAAAAUAAAACUGUGUUAAAAACUCUUGUCUUGUUGGAAAUAAUGACACAACAUUUGUUUAUUUUAAUUCCAUGUGACUGUAGAAAAGCCACAAUGACCCCUUCUUUCCAAAUAACAUCGGAUAAUGGAAAUGAACCCUUUUUUCCCUACAAUAUUUCAUACAACUGGACUUUUAUUGCAUUUCAAUUUGCAAUUAAAUUCCAAGACUUUAACACCAUCAACUCAGAUGACAUCCUAAGUAAAACACACGAAACCUCUGAGAAGGACUUCUUUUUGUCAAUAAAAUCAUGCGAGAGGAAACUCUCCUUUGCAAAAUUAAGUGAAA